rnacentral:misc_RNA from 1 species
GAUGAAGAACGUAGCAAAAUGCGAUACUUGGUGUGAAUUGCAGAAUCCCGUGAACCAUCGAGUUUUUGAACGCAAGUUGCGCCCGAAGCCUUUUGGCCGAGGGCACGCCUGCCUGGGCGUCACACGUCGUUGCCCCCCCAUCUACUCCUUCGGGAUUGCGGGGGGCGGAUGAUGGCCUCCCGUGCGCCUCGUCGCGCGGUUGGCCUAAAUGCCAAGUCCUCGGCGACGCACGCCACGACAAUCGGUGGUUGCGAAACCUCGGUUGCCUGUCGUGUGCGGUCGUCGCGCAUCGAGGGCUCGAAAAAAUUGCCGGGCUUCGGCUCGACUUUCAACGCGACCCCAGGUCAGGCGGGGUUACCCGCUGAAUUUAAGCAUAUCAAUAAGCGGAGGA